ACGCAUCUCCGACCGACCUGGAGCAGUUACUGUCUGCUGCUAAGGUUUCCACUAUAGAUGCUAGAAAAAGAAGGUCCUUGCGCUUUCUGUCUGAUUGUGGUGGCCAAGAAUGAAUGGAGGAAUAAAGGA
rnacentral:snoRNA from 1 species